rnacentral:rRNA from 1 species
AGCGAACGCUGGCGGCAGGCCUAACACAUGCAAGUCGAACGAAGUCUUCGGACUUAGUGGCGGACGGGUGAGUAACACGUGGGAACGUGCCUUUAGGUUCGGAAUAACUCAGGGAAACUUGUGCUAAUACCGAAUGUGCCCUUCGGGGGAAAGAUUUAUCGCCUUUAGAGCGGCCCGCGUCUGAUUAGCUAGUUGGUGAGGUAAAGGCUCACCAAGGCGACGAUCAGUAGCUGGUCUGAGAGGAUGAUCAGCCACAUUGGGACUGAGACACGGCCCAAACUCCUACGGGAGGCAGCAGUGAGGAAUCUUGCGCAAUGGGCGAAAGCCUGACGCAGCCAUGCCGCGUGAAUGAUGAAGGUCUUAGGAUUGUAAAAUUCUUCCACCGGGGACGAUAAUGACGGUACCCGGAGAAGAAGCCCCGGCUAACUUCGUGCCAGCAGCCGCCGUAA